GACGAACGCUGGCGGCGUGCUUAACACAUGCAAGUCGAACGGUGAAAGCGGAGCUUGCUCCGCUGGAUCAGUGGCGAACGGGUGAGUAACACGUGGGCAACCUGCCCCUCACUUCGGGAUAACUCCGGGAAACCGGGGCUAAUACCGGAUAUGACCUCCUUGGGCAUCCUUGGAGGUGGAAAGUUUUUCGGUGGGGGAUGGGCCCGCGGCCUAUCAGCUUGUUGGUGAGGUAGUGGCUCACCAAGGCGACGACGGGUAGCCGGCCUGAGAGGGCGACCGGCCACACUGGGACUGAGACACGGCCCAGACUCCUACGGGAGGCAGCAGUGGGGAAUAUUGCGCAAUGGGCGAAAGCCUGACGCAGCAACGCCGCGUGCGGGAUGACGGCCUUCGGGUUGUAAACCGCUUUCAGCAGGGAAGAAGCCGCAAGGUGACGGUACCUGCAGAAGAAGCACCGGCUAACUACGUGCCAGCCGCCGCCGUAA
rnacentral:rRNA from 1 species